AUGGAGGUGAAGGAGAGUACUUCAUCCAUCCAAGUGGAAGCUUCUACUUCACGACAAGGUGAACCAAGAAUCAACACGGAAGCAUCCACAAGUGGGACACACCAAGAUGAAGAAAACGAGGAAGUAUGUCAAUAUGAACAUCAACAACCUCCUUCUCCACCACGACAAGAGAACGACGACGUCAACAAUGAAGAAGGCCAAGAAGAAGAACAAGAUGAAGAAGAUGCUCAACGAAGACCCAAGCAAAAGCUCUCACGAGUUCGAGCAAGAAUUGCCAAAGAUCAUCCCGUCGAGCAAAUCCUCAAUGAUAUACAAACCGGGAGAAUCACUCGCUCAAAAACUCGUUUAGCUAACUUUUGUGAAAACUAUUCAUUCAUCUCUAGCAUUGAACCUAUGAAGGUUGAAGAAGCAUUGGAAGAUCCGGAUUGGAUAAACGCUAUGCAUGAAGAGCUACAUAAUUUUGAGAGAAACCAAGUUUGGACAUUGGUCGAGAAGCCCGACAACAACCACAACAUCAUUGGUACCAAAUGGGUGUUUCGCAACAAGCAAGAUGAAGAUGGACAAGUGAUUCGCAACAAGGCACGUCUCGUCGCUCAAGGGUACACACAAGUCAAAGGUAUGGACUAUGGUGAGACAUAUGCCCCCGUUGCUAGACUUGAGUCCAUUCGCAUCUUACUUGCCUAUGCUAAUCACCAUAAUAUCACCUUGUACCAAAUGGACAUUAAAAGUGCUUUUCUAAAUGGUGAAAUAGAGGAGGAAGUUUAUGUCAAACAACCUCCCGGCUUUAUCAAUCCUAAGAAACCAAAUCAUGUUUACAAACUUCACAAAGCUCUUUAUGGUCUUAAACAAGCUCCUAGAGCAUGGUAUAAAUGCUUGACCAAGUUCCUUACUACAAGUGGUUUUGAAAUUGGCAAAAUUGAUUCUACUCUUUUUACUAAAAGGGUUAAUGGAGAACUAUUUGUAUGCCAAAUUUAUGUUAAUGAUAUCAUAUUUGGUUCAACUAACCCUCUUGAAAAGUUUGGAAAGCUAAUGUCAGAGAAGUUUGAGAUGUCUAUGAUGAGUGAACUCAAAUUCUUUCUCGGGUUGCAAAUUAAGCAAACUAAGGAAGGUACAUUUGUCUCUCAAACAAAGUACACCAAGGACUUGUUCAAGAAGUUCAAUAUGCAAGAAUGCAAAGGUAUGUCUACACCCAUGCCUACUAGUGGACAUAAUGAUUUAACCAAAGAUGGUGAACUGGUUGAUCAAAAGGUUUAUUGCUCUAUGAUUGGUUCAUUGUUAUACCUAUGUGCUUCCCGUCCCGAUAUUAUGCUAAGUGUGUGCAUGUGUGCACGAUAUCAAGCUGCUCCUAAAGAUUGUCAUCUUAAGGCUGUGAAAAGGAUAGUGAGAUACUUAAUCCAUACACCAAAUUUUGGCAUUUGGUAUCCUAAGAGGUCUUCUUUUGAUCUUGUUGGCUAUUCCGACUCGGAUUAUGCCGGAGACAAGGUUGAUAGAAAGUCCACUUCGGGUACUUGUCAAUUUCUUGGUAGAUCUCUUGUGUCUUGGUCUUCCAAGAAACAAAACUCGGUAUCCUUAUCCACCGCCGAAGCGGAAUACAUUGCCGCUGGUUCAUGUUGUGCUCAAUUACUUUGGAUGACCCAAACUCUUAAAGAUUAUGGGAUUUAUGUGAAACAUGUUCCACUGCUUUGUGACAAUAAAAGUGCUAUCAAAAUUGGUCGUAAUCCUGUACAACAUUCUCGAACUAAGCAUAUUGAAGUUCGUCAUCAUUUCAUUCGAGAUCAUGUUGCUAAGGGUGAAAUUAAUCUUAAGCACGUUCGCACCGAUAAGCAAUUAGCGGAUAUAUUUACUAAACCUCUUGAUGAGAAAGUGUUUUGCAGGUUGAGAGGAGAAUUGAACAUCAUUGAUGCUUCCAACUUGGAGUAG
rnacentral:rRNA from 1 species